GAUAUACUCCCUCUGUCCCAAAAUUCUUGUCUUAUAUUUGUCUAGAUACGGAUGUACCUAAUACUAAAACAUAACUUGAUACAUCCGUAUUUAGAAAAAUCUAAGACGAUAAUUUUGGGAUGGAGGGAGUAUAAA
rfam:Triticum urartu cultivar G1812 contig115756, whole genome shotgun sequence.